CGGCCCACCCAGUCCGCGAGAACCGGGCAGAUCGCCUCGACGGUACGGAGGCCGGCCGACGGGUCCGCCAAACGACGAGACCACGCCUCCAGCACGGACUGCCGAUAUUGGAGCCCCCGCGCUCCGGCUGCACUUGCGCUAGGGCGCGCCGCCUCGUAGGAGACUGUGAGGUGCUGUGGCAGGUCCAACCAGAGACGUCAACGUGUGUUCCAGAGCUUCAGUGUGUUACAGAUAAGUGGUUUUGGCUUCCCCUUUAUGUUCCAUUCAGGGUCAGAAUGUAGUCUUAUAAAACAAAGUCAUAGUAAUUUAUUCAAUGGUAAGCGGUUUCAUGAACAAGUCACUCUUUGAUCUGAAAGUAACUUAGACCAAUCAUGAUGGCAAGAGCACUUAGGGGAUAUUCAACUCGCCCUUAAUAGUGCACGUUGUCGAGUAACAGGGUUUACUCCAAUAGAAUAGACGUUUGCCGUUCAGGGUAGUUCACUUGAAAUAUCUUAAAGUUUCAACAGAGUGAUAAUCCCUCUAGAUUAGAUCUUGAUUUAGCACGGUCGAAGACCGGCGAAAACAUAAAAAAAAGGGCACAAACAGAAGCUUGGUUUAGUCGAGGCAAAGCUAAAGUCAAACUCUUUUCCGCUGGGGAUUUUGUUUUCGUAAGUUGACCGAAAAUGUAAAGGUCCCUUCAACAUUACUGCAGUUUUGGAAAACGAUAGGUAUAAAUUGAGACAUGUAAAUAGUUCUAAUAGAUGUACAAAUUUCCCCAUGAAAACUUACGUGAAAUACCUCGAGGCCCAUCAGGCCUACUAGAAAUUUCUGAAAAUUAUAGUGACGAUGACGUGACGGCGUACACAGAUGGGUUAAUUAAUCUUGUUCAUGAAACUGAUCUUAAUGAUGACGACUCUAUCACUGACAAUAGAAGCGACAUUUUUGUCCGCAAAUAGCGAUACAGCAAACAUAGUCUGUGGGUAGUGAUACAAUGUCUGUAAGCUCAGGCACCUCAGGUGCAGGUGUUGGAAAUGUAGAAAACGAUGGUCGGUCUCGCACUAUUUCUGAAGAAAUUCCGUAUAAAUGUUCUGGUUUAAGAAAUGUUUUAACAAACGCUACCGUACACGCAGAUUAAAAAAAAAAAAAAAAAAAAAAAGAAUUGUAUGUGGCUAGAGAGAUGUUAAUCCGGACUAGCAAAAAAAAAAGAGAAAAAAAAGUGUGAAGUCAUUGAAGGGUCUGUCCGGUCCAAUGGCUUGGCUAUAGGGAUUUUCAUCCAGAUUAGCCACAACAAUUAGCUACAGGGAUUGCGAUUCGGUCUAGCAUUAUCCGGUCCAGUUC
rnacentral:lncRNA from 1 species